rnacentral:rRNA from 1 species
UACGGAGGGUGCAAGCGUUGUUCGGAGUUACUGGGCGUAAAGGGCGCGUAGGCGGCUUGGCAAGUCGGGUGUGAAAUCCUAGGGCUUAACGGAAGAAGUGCACCCGAAACUGCCUUGCUCGAGUUUGGGAGAGGGGAGUGGAAUUCCCGGUGUAGAGGUGAAAUUCGUAGAUAUCGGGAGGAACACCAGUGGCGAAAGCGACUCCCUGGACCAAUACUGACGCUCAGGAGCGAAAGCGUGGGGAGCAAACAGG